AUCAAAAUACCUCAAUAAUCAUACAUGAAUCGGCUUUAUUAGCGCUAAUCUGAACAAUCGUCCUUUCAUAUUACAACGAAUUUUUCAAGUAUUUUUAUGAAAUUAAUCACAAUGUUCUAAUCGGCAAGAAGUCGACGAAUUACAGGAAUUACUUGUUUCAAGUGGAUUGACUGUUUUGGUGAAUGUGAAAAGAUUGAUAAAAAUUAUUGUGAUCCCACUUAUUAGAAAUCAGGUGCCCCUCAAGGGGUCGUUUAUCUCUCUUAUGGUGCAAGCAAUUGCUUAUAAUGAAAUUAAUUAAUUUGUAAUAUUAUCUCAAGCGUAGGUAGUAAAUUUGCCUCGAUAGAUCUAAAUAAAAUUUUGUUUAGAAAGUUGCUUGCUAAAUUGCAAUGGAAACCGACUUCAAAGGGCUUAUAAAUUCCUGCAGUUAACAACGCAAAAUCAGGAAAUCCCACCAACCCCGUAACAAAGAGUCACAUUUUCCAGCACGUGAUUUGCUGCCUUGGAUGCAGGAAUUUGCGUAACCACAUCCGGACCAAUUCAUUCGCAUUACUGAAGUUAUUUUCGGGAUUAUCAGGAUUGUGGCAUCGAAUUGAUGUGACAUCGUAGACGGGCAAAGAUAUGCGUAAUUGCAAAACACUUUUUCAGAAAAUAAUAGUAAAAUAAAUGUAUUUGCUUAAUUGCCGUCGUUUAAAUUCCUGUUUGUACAAGUUUCCUGAAGUCGGCUACAUUUCUAAUGAGAUUCAGAUUCAGUUACCAGCAGUUUGGUUUAUUAAUUCGAAUAGUUGCUUUAUAACUUCAUAGCCGAGAGUGUUUGAUUUCCAACUAUAAUGCAAGCGUGAAUACUGCAAGCUCUUGAAAGGAAUAGAGUUAAUAAUUGAAAUCAAGGGAAGGGAUCAGCUGAAAUGUGUCUCUAGUGUGGUUAAUGAGUGCAAUAAUUAAGAAUAAUCGCAUUAAUCAAAGGAGUUAGCCAACUUGAUGGGUUUCAGGGCAGAAAUCAAUGGAAGCAGCUUGAGGAAGAGGAGGAGAAGAAACACCUUUAUAGCUUGAUAUGAAUAAUAUAUUUAACUGUUAGAAAUAUA